UACGUAGGGUCCGAGCGUUGUCCGGAAUUACUGGGCGUAAAGAGCUCGUAGGUGGUUUGUCGCGUUGUUCGUGAAAACUCACAGCUUAACUGUGGGCGUGCGGGCGAUACGGGCAGACUGGAGUACUGCAGGGGAGACUGGAAUUCCUGGGGUAGCGGUGGAAUGCGCAGAUAUCAGGAGGAACACCGGUGGCGAAGGCGGGUCUCUGGGCAGUAACUGACGCUGAGGAGCGAAAGCGUGGGGAGCGAACAGG
rnacentral:rRNA from 1 species